GGGUUGUGAGGUUAAGCGACUAAGCGUACACGGUGGAUGCCCUGGCAGUCAGAGGCGAUGAAGGACGUGCUAAUCUGCGAAAAGCGCCGGCGAGGUGAUAUGAACCUUUGACCCGGCGAUGUCCGAAUGGGGAAACCCAGUGUGUUCCGACACACUAUCGUUAACUGAAUACAUAGGUUAACGAGGCGAACCGGGGGAACUGAAACAUCUAAGUACCCCGAGGAAAAGAAAUCAACCGAGAUUCCCCCAGUAGCGGCGAGCGAACGGGGAGCAGCCCAGAGUCUGAAUCAGCUUGUGUGUUAGUGGAAGCGUCUGGAAAGUCGCACGGUACAGGGUGAAAGUCCCGUACACGAAAGCACACAGGCUGUGAACUCGAAGAGUAGGGCGGGACACGUGGUAUCCUGUCUGAAUAUGGGGGGACCAUCCUCCAAGGCUAAAUACUCCUGACUGACCGAUAGUGAACCAGUACCGUGAGGGAAAGGCGAAAAGAACCCCGGCGAGGGGAGUGAAAAAGAACCUGAAACCGUGUACGUACAAGCAGUGGGAGCCUCUUUUAUGGGGUGACUGCGUACCUUUUGUAUAAUGGGUCAGCGACUUAUAUUCUGUAGCAAGGUUAACCGUAUAGGGGAGCCGAAGGGAAACCGAGUCUUAACUGGGCGUUAAGUUGCAGGGUAUAGACCCGAAACCCGGUGAUCUAGCCAUGGGCAGGUUGAAGGUUGGGUAACACUAACUGGAGGACCGAACCGACUAAUGUUGAAAAAUUAGCGGAUGACUUGUGGCUGGGGGUGAAAGGCCAAUCAAACCGGGAGAUAGCUGGUUCUCCCCGAAAGCUAUUUAGGUAGCGCCUCGUGAACUCAUCUUCGGGGGUAGAGCACUGUUUCGGCUAGGGGGCCAUCCCGGCUUACCAACCCGAUGCAAACUACGAAUACCGAAGAAUGUUAUCACGGGAGACACACGGCGGGUGCUAACGUCCGUCGUGAAGAGGGAAACAACCCAGACCGCCAGCUAAGGUCCCAAAGUCAUGGUUAAGUGGGAAACGAUGUGGGAAGGCACAGACAGCCAGGAUGUUGGCUUAGAAGCAGCCAUCAUUUAAAGAAAGCGUAAUAGCUCACUGGUCGAGUCGGCCUGCGCGGAAGAUGUAACGGGGCUAAACCAUGCACCGAAGCUGCGGCAGCGACGCUUAUGCGUUGUUGGGUAGGGGAGCGUUCUGUAAGCCGUUGAAGGUGUCCUGUGAGGGGUGCUGGAGGUAUCAGAAGUGCGAAUGCUGACAUAAGUAACGAUAAAGCGGGUGAAAAGCCCGCUCGCCGGAAGACCAAGGGUUCCUGUCCAACGUUAAUCGGGGCAGGGUGAGUCGACCCCUAAGGCGAGGCCGAAAGGCGUAGUCGAUGGGAAACAGGUUAAUAUUCCUGUACUUGGUGUUACUGCGAAGGGGGGACGGAGAAGGCUAUGUUAGCCGGGCGACGGUUGUCCCGGUUUAAGCAUGUAGGCGGAGGUUCCAGGUAAAUCCGGUUCCUUGUUAACGCUGAGGUGUGAUGACGAGGCACUACGGUGCUGAAGUAACAAAUGCCCUGCUUCCAGGAAAAGCCUCUAAGCAUCAGGUAACAUCAAAUCGUACCCCAAACCGACACAGGUGGUCAGGUAGAGAAUACCAAGGCGCUUGAGAGAACUCGGGUGAAGGAACUAGGCAAAAUGGUGCCGUAACUUCGGGAGAAGGCACGCUGAUAUGUAGGUGAAGUCCCUGCGGAUGGAGCUGAAAUCAGUCGAAGAUACCAGCUGGCUGCAACUGUUUAUUAAAAACACAGCACUGUGCAAACACGAAAGUGGACGUAUACGGUGUGACGCCUGCCCGGUGCCGGAAGGUUAAUUGAUGGGGUUAGCGGCAACGCGAAGCUCUUGAUCGAAGCCCCGGUAAACGGCGGCCGUAACUAUAACGGUCCUAAGGUAGCGAAAUUCCUUGUCGGGUAAGUUCCGACCUGCACGAAUGGCGUAAUGAUGGCCAGGCUGUCUCCACCCGAGACUCAGUGAAAUUGAACUCGCUGUGAAGAUGCAGUGUACCCGCGGCAAGACGGAAAGACCCCGUGAACCUUUACUAUAGCUUGACACUGAACACUGGUCCUUGAUGUGUAGGAUAGGUGGGAGGCUUUGAAGCGUGGACGCCAGUCUGCGUGGAGCCAACCUUGAAAUACCACCCUUUAAUGGCUGGUGUUCUAACGUAGACCCGUGAUCCGGGUUGCGGACAGUGUCUGGUGGGUAGUUUGACUGGGGCGGUCUCCUCCCAAAGAGUAACGGAGGAGCACGAAGGUUAGCUAAUCCUGGUCGGACAUCAGGAGGUUAGUGCAAUGGCAUAAGCUAGCUUGACUGCGAGAGUGACGGCUCGAGCAGGUGCGAAAGCAGGUCAUAGUGAUCCGGUGGUUCUGAAUGGAAGGGCCAUCGCUCAACGGAUAAAAGGUACUCCGGGGAUAACAGGCUGAUACCGCCCAAGAGUUCAUAUCGACGGCGGUGUUUGGCACCUCGAUGUCGGCUCAUCACAUCCUGGGGCUGAAGUAGGUCCCAAGGGUAUGGCUGUUCGCCAUUUAAAGUGGUACGCGAGCUGGGUUUAGAACGUCGUGAGACAGUUCGGUCCCUAUCUGCCGUGGGCGCUGGAGAAUUGAGGGGGGCUGCUCCUAGUACGAGAGGACCGGAGUGGACGCAUCACUGGUGUUCGGGUUGUCAUGCCAAUGGCACUGCCCGGUAGCUAAAUGCGGAAGAGAUAAGUGCUGAAAGCAUCUAAGCACGAAACUUGCCCCGAGAUGAGUUCUCCCUGAGACUUUAAGUCUCCUGAAGGAACGUUGAAGACUACGACGUUGAUAGGUCGGGUGUGUAAGCGCAGCGAUGCGUUGAGCUAACCGAUACUAAUGAACCGUGAGGCUUAACCUUACAACGCCGAAG
rnacentral:rRNA from 1 species